UUCUAGAUUUGGUAUGUCGAGAAGCUAUUUUUUUAGAAAAGUCAAUAGCCUAAAGCCAACAAACAGUAGACAAAACUUAGAAAGCUAUCGAUUAUAUUAAAAAAACAACUCUUGUAUUUGGAAGAAACUAAACAAGGCCGUACAUACAGUGAAAUACAAGAGUGUCAAAUCAAAUUUGUAAUGUAGGCUUAAUUUUAUGGGUUGCCGCUACAUGCCAUAGACAUAUUUUUUCUUAUAC
rnacentral:lncRNA from 1 species